ACUUUCAAGAUCCUUGCAGAUCCCUUUGCUCAGCUUUGGUCCAUCCAUGCCUUUAUCCACAAAGGUGACAGCUACAAACAGAUUCCACUAGUUUUCUGCCUUAUAUCCAGACGUAAAGGGAGAGAUUAUGUUGCUGUUUUUCAGAGGCUGAAAGAGGUCCUUCUAAGACCAGCAGAAGUUCAGUGUUUUGUUGCCGAUUUUGAGCAAGGUGCAUGGAAAGCCAUACGUAAGGAAUUUCCUACUUCCACCAUCAAAG